UUAAAAAUGAUUUUAUAAUCUAUUCUGUUUUGACAUUUUGUAAGAUAUCUUGUUAGCUAUCACCUCGCAGUUGAGCAGCUGACAACUUAGAAAAUUUAAACAGUUCUAAAGAAUACAACUGUUUGUUAUUAUCUAAUUCCUCCAAGAUUAUAAAAUUUGGAUUAUAAUUUCUCCAACCAAUUUGUUAUUUGGUUUGUAUAGCGAAAGAAAAUGAUGUCCUAUUCGGUCAUGCUUUUUAUUGGAACAAUUUGUUUAAAUAGUUUUGGCUUCCCUAUAGUGUGCACUACUGAAUUGGAUCGCAAAAGGCAAGUGGAGAUGUCGGUUACAACAUUAAAGGUGAUACUAGCAGCUGAUGGUUUGUACUACAUAGUAGUUCAGAAUCCAUUUCGUUUAUUCUGAAUACUAAAUAAAUGAAGUGAUGCUAU